UUUUCAACGGAGAGUUUGAUCCUGGCUCAGGACGAACGCUGGCGGCGUGCUUAACACAUGCAAGUUGAGCGAGGAUGGUUUGAGGAGACAUAUGUUGAAUUGAAUCAUUCGAGCAGCGGACGGGUGAGUAAAG
rnacentral:rRNA from 1 species